rnacentral:rRNA from 1 species
GGACCCGCACAAGCGGUGGAGCAUGUGGUUUAAUUCGAAGCAACGCGAAGAACCUUACCAACUCUUGACAUCCCCCUGACCGGUACAGAGAUGUACCUUCCCCUUCGGGGGCAGGGGUGACAGGUGGUGCAUGGUUGUCGUCAGCUCGUGUCGUGAGAUGUUGGGUUAAGUCCCGCAACGAGCGCAACCCUUGUCCUUAGUUGCCAGCAUUUGGUUGGGCACUCUAGGGAGACUGCCGGUGACAAACCGGAGGAAGGUGGGGAUGACGUCAAAUCAUCAUGCCCCUUAUGAGUUGGGCUACACACGUGCUACAAUGGACGGUACAAAGGGCAGCGAAGCCGCGAGGUGGAGCCAAUCCCAGAAAGCCGUUCUCAGUUCGGAUUGCAGGCUGCAACUCGCCUGCAUGAAGUCGGAAUCGCUAGUAAUCGCAGGUC